CAACAAUAUAACAAUAAGAGGUGCUUUACUUCUUUAGAAAUUAGCCACUAAUGUUGUAAACUAAGGAAAAAUAUCACAAUCUUGUUAUGUUUACUUAAUAGUAGGAGAUACUACGAUUCAUUUGCUGCUUAUGCAUCAGUGUGGCCAUAUGAUACUCUUAUACAGUGAAGUCCCACUUGGGAAAGGUUUUCCAAAGCUCACACGCUUCCUUUUGACUGCACUUGGUUUUUAAACUGUAAUAAUUAUUAACAGCUAAUGCUGCUUCCUGUUUUUGAGUUUAUUCACUGAAUAAAAAAUAAGGUGAGAUAAAAUAUGCUUUAUUUAACCCGAAAGCAGGGAAAUUAUUGUGUUAUAACAGCCAAAUUAUUAAAGCCCUUUAUACUGAGAAACUGUAGAAUUCCUCCACCUUUCUUCUUGCCUCUCAGAUUAAUGUCUCUGUCCACUCAAAAAAUUGGUCACACCAUAGUCCAGGAAGUGUGAGUGCAGCGCCUUGUCCAUGACUCACAUCAAACCGCAUUGCGGAUUCUGUUCCCCAGAUUUGUCCAUAUCAUUGACCUCUGAUAGCUGCUUAGCUCUCCAGUUAGCUUCAGCUCUGAAACCAUGUUGUGUUCACUUCAAAGUAAACAGGAUAUGCACUGCCAGAGUGAUGAGAUGGCAAAGAGUCUUGACUGCCAUGAGUGUGACAAAAAGAACCAGAAAAACAGGAAGCUUAAGAACAUAUGCGCCGGCAGCUGUUUUAGCAGUCUACCACGCAGCACUGUGGGGACAUAACUGACAACAGGUUUUUUUACAUUUUUCAUUUUGAGAAUAAGACAACAUUUCUAAAAGUCAAAAUAUUAUGUCAAGAACAGAAUCAAUAUAUCUAUAGACAAGUUGUUUCAAAUAAAGUUAGCAUUAGUGCCGCUCAUGGCUGCUGUACCCUCUACAAUACGCCUUGUGCAAUUUAACUGAUGAAAUCAUACAUCAAAGUCCCUUUUGAUAACAAGUAAAUUAUUUCUCUGUGCAUAUAAACACAAUGUGGUAAUAGAUACAGAAAAGAAGGACUUUGAAGAGAUGGUACAGAAAAUCACAUCUGUUCUUUCUAUCUUAAACCCCACAGCUGUUAUCAGGCCUGGACUGGGACGAAAAAUCGGCCCGGGCAUUUUGACUAGAAACCAGCCCACCAGGUAUUAUAGGAAAAACCAUAAAGCCUUUGAAUAAAAACUAACUCUGUUGUGACAGUGAUGUACACUGUCUUGCUGUUAUAUAUGUCUCAAUCUAAUAAACUUAAACCUACACCAUCCUCCCUGUUCUGGUAUUCUAAACCGUACUUAGCCAAAACCCAAAGACUCCUUGGUCGAGUUAACCUCCUGAACUAUUUACAACACAUGGUGGAAACCUGAAAUUAAGACAGAGAAGGCUAGAGGUGAGACAUUAUCAUUACUGAAUAUUAAAAAUAAUAAAUGACAGAUUUAGUGAUAUUUUCAUAAACUUUUUUUUUACCACAUCAAUAAACAGCAUGGCAGGGCAAAAUAUUUUUUUCUAAUAUUGCAACCUUUAAAAAGUGAAAGGAGACAGAAAGAGGUGAGAAAGAAUAAAACUUAAUUGACUUUUUGAUGGUAUUUUACACACAGUACUGGUACAGUAUCUAGAAAAUGUGGGAAAAUACUGGCAUCAUAUACAGAACUUAUUUCUGAAGAAAUUAUGAUGGGACCCUGAAAAAAGAAAUUACUAUGUACAAUAAUGGGUUUCUAUACAUUUUCCAUCAGAUGAAAACGUUAGUUGUAAGAUUCAGAUAAUCAUUUGUUAAAAGUGAGACAUUUUAAAUGAGAUUAACAAAAGAAAAGUAUUUCCUUGUGCCCCCCUUUCCCUGUUAAUGCCCUACCUGGCCCCCUGGCAUAACUUUGCUAGAUCCGCCCCUGCACAGUUACCAGCUGUCAGCUACAUAGAAAAGGAUCCUGGUGUUAUUUGUCUCUCAGAAACAGUUCAUAACUUCCCUUCAACCCAUUCAUGUCACCUAAAAGGUAAACCUGUUUCUACAUCACCUGUUCAGCUCUGAUGAUUCAGUAAGGACAUCUCCUGGUUUCAUCUUCAUGUUUCCCUCUCACCACAUAUCCAAACCGACAUCAUGACCAGCAGCUUUACAGCUGUGGCUCCAGCAAACAUCAGCUGAUACUAGAAAGUAAUAUUAAAUAAAUUCUAACAACAGCUGAUUAAGCUUAAACGUGCUGCUGUUGUUUGGCGCGACCUCCGCUGGUUCCUUCUUUCUGGUGCAAAGUGGGCGAUAAACAAGAGAGACGGGACUUGCGUCAGAAACACCGAUCAGCUGAUCAUUGAUCAGUGUCAUGAUUGAAGCAGCAACAGGAGAGGGAGGGGGAGAGAAUGAGAGAAGAAGAUGCAGCCGACAGCGUAAGGAUGCAGAAUAACUCCUGCCUCACCUUUCCCUCAUCCACCUGCUGGCCUCCACCACUUGCUAAUGUUAAUGAAUCUGUGGAAGCGACCACCAAACAAUUUAGUUAUUUUUACAGAUCUGCCAGCAUCUGGCCAACCCACCACCUUUCAGUGUUUAUAAAACAUCGGCCCAUAAAAACAAAAAAUCACCAUCGGCCCACCGGCCAAAUGCCCAGUAUGCCCGAUGGCCAGUCCAGCUAUGGCUGUUAUCCCCAUUAUAUAGAAUGAUCUUCAUUUGAGUAUUUUUAAGUGAGAAAAAUACAUCAUAGUGCCUAUGCGUUAUAUAUGGGGAAAUUAAACCCUAACAUCUAGAAUUAUUUGCUUCUGAAAUAUUAUAUCUAUCAACUCUUAGUUCAAAAGCUCAGUUUAGAAAAGAAACAAAUACUGAGAAAGAUUUUCGAAAGCAAAGAAUCAGCAUUUUAACAUCUGUGAUUCUCUUUUUUUGGUCUUUUUUCAUCUUCUAAGUAUAAUUUUCUUAUAGUGAGCUUUUUUUGCUGUUGUUUGUUUGUUAGUUUGUUUUUAACAUUAGCACAACUGGAGCAGGUAAGAAAGUCAUUGUUGGUUUGACUCAUUUGAUCAGGGACACAGUAGCAGUGUUUCAUCAUGUUGUUGAUCUGUAAUAUACAACACAUAACACCACAGUCAGACAAAAUCAUAUGCAGACAACAGUCAAACAUGUAGAUGCAAUAAAAGUUUGCCAACUUACCGUUUUAAACCAUCAUGAAGAAAUUUUAUUGAAAGUACGAUGGUUACCGCAUUUGCAAUAAUUAAAAAUACGGCCAGAACAAACAGCACCGUUUCCUCCUGAU
ensembl:lncRNA